UUAAAAUCCGUUCUAUUUUCUGAACGAAGUUCCAUGUCAUGAUUACUCCCUCUAAUCAAUUGAAAUAAGUUUUUCUUGACAGAAGCAAGUUUUUCAAAUAACUCCAGGUGGAAUUGCAGAUGCAAAGGAUUGAAUCAGCUAUAGUUUCUUUCUGCAUUUAAUACCAGCAAGUAAUGUUUUAUCUCAUUUUUUCAUGUAUGUAAAGUUCUGUCAUAUAUAGAGUAGUUCGUAGUAGUAUAGUAUAUAGAGUUGCUGACAAGACUUGAUGAUUUUUCUUAAUGAACAUUAAAGUUUUCGUCAAAGCAGCCUCAAGUAUGUACCGGUAUAACAACGGCAGGUAUAUGUAUCUGAUUCAACGUAAAUAGUUAUGUACA
rnacentral:lncRNA from 1 species